AAAAAAAAUUAUAUCUGGUGCCUAAUAGAAGCCAUUUAAGACAAUAUAUUAAAAGAAAUGAAGAAUUGCCAUUUCUUGCCUGUUUUUGACUGAAACCUAAACUCCUGUCCUGGAAUUCAGUCUUGUAAAGUUUGGCCACUCCUCAAUCUCCUACUGUUCCCCUUUAUGUAUGCAAAAGUAAUGGAGGCAUACAGAAAUGGCUGCUGAAAUGUCAUCAUGAAAAAAUGGAUUUGUCUAGAUGAUGAUGAUUUAUUUUAGGAAAAACUGGGAAAGAACAGUCUAUCAUUGCCCUGAAGAUGAAGAUGGCAGGCCCCACUGAUCUUACCAGUUUCUGCUUUGCCCUAUGAUAGGUUUCCCAAGAACAAGAAUGAGGGGGGGGGGUCACAGCAUUUUUUAUCAGGAUAUAUACCAGCUGGGACUGUGUCUCAGUGGUACAGCGCUUACCUGGCAUGUGUGAGGCUCUGG
rnacentral:lncRNA from 1 species